rnacentral:rRNA from 1 species
CCUACGGGAGGCAGCAGUGGGGAAUAUUGGACAAUGGGCGAAAGCCUGAUCCAGCCAUGCCGCGUGUGUGAAGAAGGCCUUCGGGUUGUAAAGCACUUUCAGUGGGGAAGAAAGCCUUGGGGCUAAUACCCUCGAGGAAGGACAUCACCCACAGAAUAAGCACCGGCUAACUCCGUGCCAGCAGCCGCGGUAAUACGGAGGGUGCGAGCGUUAAUCGGAAUUACUGGGCGUAAAGCGCGCGUAGGCGGUCUGAUAAGCCGGUUGUGAAAGCCCCGGGCUCAACCUGGGAACGGCAUCCGGAACUGUCAGGCUAGAGUGCAGGAGAGGAAGGUAGAAUUCCCGGUGUAGCGGUGAAAUGCGUAGAGAUCGGGAGGAAUACCAGUGGCGAAGGCGGCCUGCUGGACUGACACUGACGCUGAGGUGCGAAAGCGUGGGUAGCAAACAGGAUUAGAUACCCCUGUAGUC